rnacentral:tRNA from 1 species
GCCUGGGUGGCUCAGUCGGUUGGGCAUCCGACUUCAGCUCAGGUCAUGAUCUCGUGGUUUGUGGGUUCGAGCCCCAUGUCGGGCU